GCCCUGCUGACAAGUCCCGAAACAGGACGAAACAGCUGUCCAGUGC
rnacentral:hammerhead_ribozyme from 1 species